GCCCAGCUAGCUCAGUUGGUAGAGCAUGAGACUCCUAAUCUCAGGGUUGUGGGUUUGAGCUCCACGUUGGGCA
rnacentral:tRNA from 2 species